UUGUUCCUACGGGGCGCAGCAGUGGGGGAUAUUGCACAAUGGGGGAAACCCUGAUGCAGCGACGCCGCGUGUGGGAAGACGGUCUUCUGGAUUGUAAACCACUGUCCCCAGGGACGAAAAUGACGGUACCUGGGGAGGAAGCUCCGGCUAACUACGUGCCAGCAGCCGCGGUAAUACGUAGGGAGCAAGCGUUAUCCGGAUUUACUGGGUGUAAAGGGCGUGUAGGCGGGCAUGCCAGCCAGAAGUGAAAUCUGGGGGCUUAACCCCCAAACUGCUUUUGGAACUGCGUGUCUU
rnacentral:rRNA from 1 species